GCAGUCGUAGUUCAAUGGAUAGAAUUCCCGGCUUCGAACCGGUAGGUUGCAGGUUCGAGUCCUGCCGACUGCA
rfam:Bdellovibrio exovorus JSS, complete genome.